rnacentral:lncRNA from 1 species
GUGGCGUGUGUGCACGUGUGCGCGCAUGAGCUACUGGAGGAGCGGCUGGUUGUUUCAGGUUUUGUGAAAGUUGAGUAUGCCCUCGGUAAUGGACUCAGGGUGAUACAGGACAGAGCAUUUCAGAAACUGUCAUUAUCCCUUGGAAACUUACAGUCCAUUGGAGAGACAGACACAUCAUAAAUAAUUACCAAACAUGUAUAACUAUAAUUAUGCCAUCAUAACGGGAGGAGGCCCAAACAGCCUGUGAUGAGUGAGGUGCAAGUGGAAAGGAACUGUGGCCGCCAGCCCUCAGCCUUAGCCAAACUCCCAGCUGCCAGCCAGCAGGAACCUGCCAGCCAUAAGUGAGCCAUCUUGAAAGCGCAUCCUUCAGCCCCAGUCAAGCCAUCUCAGCUGGCGCUGUGUGGCACAAAGAUGAACCAUCCUUGUUCAUCCCUACCUACAAUGCAGAGACUCACGUUAUUGAGCUGAUCACCCCUCUGUAAGUGGUGGACGAACUCAGUCAACUGUGUUUGUGCCUGGAUUCAAUAUAGCCACUUGGCUGUUUCAAUUUCUCGUCCUUGGGAAGGAGGAGCAAAACUACAGUGCGUUGUUCCCAGGUUCACCUCUGGGAUGAGAUCUGGACGAGAAUAAUCAUGCCUGCCCCUUCACCUCUGGCUGCACUCUGAGAAGUGCCAAGAAGGUCAUAUCAAAGACCCAGAGGGGAGAGAUGGAGCUAAGUGGUUCCAAACAUUUAGAGCAUGGAAUUGAGCUACUUUUUCAAAAUGGGGAAUGCAGAUACACACAGAGGCACACUGGAAACGCAAUAGAACAAUGGCUGCCAAUUUAAAAGCAGAAGUUAAGAAGAGCAAACCCGAAUGUACAGCGAGAGAGCUUCGGGCUGGAUCAGCUCCCGGCAGAAGCGAGACUGGAAAUCUUGGAUUCUGUUGCCUCUUCUCUCCUCUGUGAUGUGGAAGAAGAUGUCAGCACCUGGGAAGGCACUGAGAACAAAAGGAAACUCUCUUGAAUGGUGGGAUCGAGGCACUGUAGCACAUUUUUUAUGGAGGGGAAGGAGGCUUUUCACCUGGAAACCUUUCAAAUCACACCCUAUAAGUAGCUCACGAGUCUCUCUACUCAUACUGAUCUCUUCAUCUGCUGAGUUGAACAGUGUCCCCCAAAUUCAUGGCCACCCGGGACCUGUGAAUGUGACCUUAUUUGGAAAUAGGGUCAUUGCAGAUAUACUCAAAUUAAGACAAGGCCAUAUUGGAUUAGGGGGAGCCCUAAAUUCAAUAUGACUGGAGUCUUUAUAAGAAGAGGAAAAUUUGGCCACAGAGAUAUAGACCUACGGGGUAUCAGGCCCUGUGAAGACAGAGUCAGAGAUUGGAACGAGGUGUCAAGUCAAGGAUCAACAAGGAUUGCUGACAACCAGAGCAAGAUGGAAGAGGCAAGGAAGGGCUCUUCCUUAGAGACUUCAGAAGGAACAGGCCCUGCCAACACCUUGACUGUGGACUUCUAGCCUCCAGAACUUUGAGGGAAUAAAUUUCUGUUGUUUCAAGCCGCCCAGUCUAUG